GGAUGUGAGGGCGAUCUGGCUGUGACAUCUGUCACCACAUUGGCUGCCAGCACUGAUUUGGCUGAUCUGGCUGCCUAUGUAGGUGUCUCCUUCCCUCACCAACCCAUGUUUGUCCCUCCUGAAGCUGUACGUGUAGUCAAAGAGGAUGACCUUCACUGAUGCAGAAGGACCAUUUCCUCGGUCAAGGGUAUAUGAGUGGCUGUACUCCCCUGCUAGAACCUCCAAACUCUCAAGAGUGCACAAACUCCAAAGACAAAGACUUUCCCAUCACCCUGGAUGCCCAAAAGU
rnacentral:snRNA from 1 species